rnacentral:rRNA from 1 species
AGUGAACGCUGGCGGUAGGCCUAACACAUGCAAGUCGAACGGCAGCACAGUAAGAGCUUGCUCUUACGGGUGGCGAGUGGCGGACGGGUGAGGAAUACAUCGGAAUCUACUUUUUCGUGGGGGAUAACGUAGGGAAACUUACGCUAAUACCGCAUACGACCUACGGGUGAAAGCAGGGGAUCUUCGGACCUUGCGCGAUUGAAUGAGCCGAUGUCGGAUUAGCUAGUUGGCGGGGUAAAGGCCCACCAAGGCGACGAUCCGUAGCUGGUCUGGGAGGAUGAACAGCCACACUGGAACUGAGACACGGCCCAGACUCCUACGGGAGGCAGCAGUGGGGAAUAUUGGACAAUGGGCGCAAGCCUGAUCCAGCCAUACCGCGUGGGUGAAGAAGGCCUUCGGGUUGUAAAGCCCUUUUGUUGGGAAAGAAAAGCAGCAGGUUAAUACCCCGCUGUUCUGACGGUACCCAAAGAAUAAGCACCGGCUAACUUCGUG